rnacentral:lncRNA from 1 species
AGCACCUUGAUAAUUUAAUAGAGUAUUUGUAUCUCCACCGGCAAAGAGUAUUUGACAAUUCAACAAAGCAGUAUCACAUAAUACUGCUUCGGCCAAGGUGUGUAAGCCCCUGCCAGCUUGUGAGCACCUCGACAAUUCAAUAGAGUAUUUGUAUCUCCACCAGUAAAGAGUAUUUGACAAUUUGACAAAAUAGUUUUAC